rnacentral:rRNA from 1 species
UACGUAGGGACCAAGCGUUGUUCGGAUUUACUGGGCGUAAAGGGCGCGUAGGCGGACUGCCGCGUCCGGGGUGAAAUCCUCCGGCUCAACCGGGGAAGGGCCUCGGAUACGGGCGGUCUGGAGGGGGGUAGGGGCGUGCGGAACUGUGGGUGGAGCGGUGAAAUGCGUUGAGAUCCACAGGAACUCCGGUGGCGAAGGCGGCACGCUGGACCCCUUCUGACGCUGAGGCGCGAAAGCCAGGGGAGCGAACGGG